rnacentral:rRNA from 1 species
AUUGAACGCUGGCGGCAGGCCUAACACAUGCAAGUCGAGCGGAUGAAGGGAGCUUGCUCCUGGAUUCAGCGGCGGACGGGUGAGUAAUGCCUAGGAAUCUGCCUGGUAGUGGGGGAUAACGUCCGGAAACGGGCGCUAAUACCGCAUACGUCCUGAGGGAGAAAGUGGGUGAUCUUCGGACCUCACGCUAUCAGAUGAGCCUAGGUCGGAUUAGCUAGUUGGUGGGGUAAAGGCCUACCAAGGCGACGAUCCGUAACUGGUCUGAGAGGAUGAUCAGUCACACUGGAGGUGAGACACGGUCAAGGCUCCUACGGGAGGCAGCAGUGGGGAAUAUUGGACAGAGGGCGAAAGCCUUGUCCAGCCAUGCCGAGUGUGUGAAGAAAGUCUUCGGAUUGUAAAGCACUUUAAGUUGGGAGGAAGGGCAGUAAGUUAAUACCUUGCUGGUUUGACGUUACCAACAGAAUAAGCACCGGCUAACUUCGUG